CCCCGUAAAAAGGGACGGCCCGCCGCAGGAACCCUAAACUCUGUUUUUAGUGGAACUUCUGAGUAUAAAAAACAAAUAAAUCAAAACUUUCAACAACGGAUCUCUUGGUUCUGGCAUCGAUGAAGAACGCAGCAAAAUGCGAUAAGUAAUGUGAAUUGCAGAAUUCAGUGAAUCAUCGAAUCUUUGAACGCACAUUGCGCCCGCCAGUAUUCUGGCGGGCAUGCCUGUUCGAGCGUCAUUUCAACCCUCAAGCCCAGCUUGGUGUUGGGAGCUGCAGUCCUGCUGCACUCCCCAAAUACAUUGGCGGUCACGUCGAGCUUCCAUAGCGUAGUAAUUUACACAUCGUUACUGGUAAUCGUCGCGGCCACGCCGUUAAACCCCAACUUCUGAAUGUUGACCUCGGAUCAGGUAGGAAUACCCGCUGAACUUAAGCAUAUCAAUAAGCG
rnacentral:rRNA from 1 species